CCUUAUUCCGUAUUUGGCAACGAUCGGCUGUUUCUCAAGAUUUCCCUGAACAGUUUAUCGGAAGGAGGAAAAUAAGUGAGAACAACCAUCCCCGGUUGCUCUCUCUCUCUUUGCAUUGUUUUUCCGGUUUUGUCUCAUCAUCACG
ensembl:ncRNA C30F12.8 ncRNA